CCAGCUCAUCAAUCUAAAUUAAACCGAUCCACAAUAACAACGUAUAUUAUGUAUUAUAGUAUAUUAAAGAUUAUAAUUCUGGUAGAAUAUAAUAUAUUAUUACCAUAGCAUAUUGGUAAAAUACUAUGAUCAUUCUAAUAUCAUAUAUAUUUUAUGUAGUAUUAUAAUAUAUUAUUAUAGAUAAUUAUUUUCUUAUAACACCAUCACCAACAAUAAUAAUAAUAUACGAGUGUUAUUAGUACG
rnacentral:lncRNA from 1 species